rnacentral:rRNA from 1 species
GAUGAACGCUGACAGAAUGCUUAACACAUGCAAGUCUACUUGAAUUUGGGUUUUUAACUUAGGUUUGGGUGGCGGACGGGUGAGUAACGCGUAAAGAACUUGCCUCACAGCUAGGGACAACAUUUAGAAAUGAAUGCUAAUACCUAAUAUUAUGAUAAUAGGGCAUCCUAUAAUUAUGAAAGCUAUAUGCGCUGUGAGAGAGCUUCGCGUCCUAUUAGCUAGUUGGUAAGGUAAAGGCUUACCAAGGCGAUGAUAGGUAGCCGGCCUGAGAGGGUGGACGGCCACAAGGGGACUGAGAUACGGCCCUUACUCCUACGGGAGGCAGCAGUGGGGAAUAUUGGACAAUGGAGGAAACUCUGAUCCAGCAAUUCUGUGUGUGUGAAGAAGGUCUUCGGAUUGUAAAACACUUUUAGUUGGGAAGAAACAAAUGACGGUACCA